rnacentral:lncRNA from 1 species
GGCGGGGGGAGGUUGGGGGGGUUUUGGGGGGGUUUCCCUUGGUUUUUUGGGCGCUGUGGGGGCCUUUUUAGGGCCGGCGUCCCUUUACCUUGAGAAAAUGCCGUUCGUGCCCUCAUUUCCAGCCCUGGCGGGGUUGGGACGCGGCCCUGAGCCCUCUCCCCUCAGAGCUGAGGCGAAAAACCGCCCCCCCCCCUUUGUUCAAAGGGCGACUUCCUUCGGUUUUUUUACCUACCGCCUCCCUCCCCGCCCUUAAAAAUUCGAAAUUCUCACCGGGGGUAACGACUGCUAAUCAUUUCGUGUCUUUCUUCUUUGCCUCUAAUUUUUUUUUCCAUUUUUUUUUUAUUUAUUGUGCCCACCCCACCCUCUUUUUUUUUUUUUUGUCUCCAGUAGGGCCUUAAUAAUUUCAUGGAGAGUGCAGCUGUGAGAUUUCUUGUCUUCUGAUGGGCGUUUUACUUGCAUCACAGAGACCGUGAAAUGAGGCAUUGAAAUAAGUGGCAGUUUCUAUUCAAGAUAAUUUGGAUACAGUUUGCAGCAAGCACCACACUCUCUAAUCAGUUGCAGACCCCUUUUUUUUUUUUUUUCUCCUUCUCCCCGCUCCAGGUUUGGUUGCUCUUGAGAGACGCCGUCGCCUUUACCACGAGAAAACAAAACAAAACAAACAAAACAGACAAAACCAAGCAAACAAAGCAAACAUAUAUAUAUAUAUAUACAAAAUACAACAAAAAAUAUAAGCCGGGGGAAGAAAAAAAAAGAGCUUUCUUCCCCCUCCGUGGAAGAGCCGCCAUCGCAGCCUCCGUCCUUUGGACCGUCCUUGAGGAGCCGUUUCAAACUCGAAGGAAACUGCCACUUAAAAAACAUAUUCUCCCUCUUCUUCCUUCCCCUUUAAAAAAAAAAAACAAAGGCAAAACUUCACUUUUUUUUUUGGGAGGGGGGGCUCACCCCGAAAAUCCUUAAUUAUUUUUUUUCCCCCCGUUUUCAAUGAAUUUGCCCCCUUUUUGGCAGCGCGGAGGCUUUAGGAAGCGAAGGGAACUUGGUUUUACUGCAGCGAAAGGGAACGGGUAAGCGAAAAAUAACCUUUCUGGUCUUAAUUUACAUUUCACAAACCUUCAUUUUGAGCUAAUUUUGAAUUCCCCCCCCCCC